UUCCGGUUGAUCCUGCCGGAGGCGACCGCUUUUGGAGUUCGAUUAAGCCAUGCGAGUAGAAAGAAUUAGAUUCUUUGCAAACUGCUCAGUAACACGUGGAUAACCUGCCCUAUGCUCCGGAAUAACCUCGGGAAACUGAGAAUAAUACCGGAUAGAUCACAACGCCUGGAACGGUGUGUGGUUCAAAGGUCACGGCAUAGGAUGGGUCUGCGGCGUAUCAGGUCGUAGGGGGUGUAACGGACCUCCUAGCCAUCGACGCGUACGGGUGUUGGGAGACAUAGCCCGGAGAUGGAUUCUGAGACACGAAUCCAGACCCUACGGGGUGCAGCAGGCGCGAAAACUUCACACUGCAGGAAACUGUGAUGAGGGAACUCCAAGUGCGCGCACUUAGUGUGCGCUUUUCUUGACUAUUAAUCGGUCAUGGAAUAAGGGCUGGGAAAGACCGGUGCCAGCCGCCGCGGUAAUACCGGCAGCUCAAGUGGUCGUCGCUUUUAUUGGGCCUAAAACGUCCGUAGCCUGUUUGGUAAAUCUGUGGGUAAAUCAACCAGCUUAACUGGUUGAAUUCUGCAGAGACUGCCAGACUAGGGACCGGGAGAGGUGUGGGGUACUCUAGGGGUAGGGGUAAAAUCCUGUCAUCCUUAGAGGACCACCAGUUGCGAAGGCGCCACACUGGAACGGAUCCGACGGUCAGGGACGAAGCCUAGGGGCACGAACCGGAUUAGAUACCCGGGUAGUCCUAGGUGUAAACGCUGUGAACUUGGUGUCGGGAGUCCGCAAUGGGCCCCCGGUGCCGGAGUGAAGAUGUUAAGUUCACUGCCUGGGGAGUACGGUCGCAAGGCUGAAACUUAAAGGAAUUGGCGGGGGAGCACUGCAACGGGAGGAGCGUGCGGUUUAAUUGGAUUCAACGCCGGA
rnacentral:rRNA from 1 species